rnacentral:misc_RNA from 1 species
UCUCCGUUGGUGAACCAGCGGAGGGAUCAUUACCGAGUUUACAACUCCCAAAACCCACUGUGCACCUAUACCUUUACUGUUGCUUCGGCGGGGGUCUCGCCCGGGAAUCUGGGCGCCCGCCGGGGGACUUCAGCGCUCUUGUGUUCCUUAGCUUGCAUGUCUGAGUGUGGAGUUCGCGCACGCGAAACGAGAAUAAUCAAAACUUUCAACAACGGAUCUCUUGGUUCUG